CAAUUUCCUUUUCAAUACUUUUUUUCUUUGGGUUGCGCAAAACAGUUUGUCAUCUUCAAAUGUAUGAUUUCUUAUUGUAGUAGAGAGGUGAUCAACCAUUUCUGUCCCAUGUGUGGUUGUGUAAUAUUUUUGUAUUCUCUAGCAUUGUACAUUUACCAUUGACUACUGACUCAAGAAAGAAAAACAAUCUAUGUAUAACAAUUGGUUGAAGUUGAUAAAUGGGAGUUACCGGUAAAUGUACA
rnacentral:misc_RNA from 1 species